AAGAUAGAGGAGCGGAUGCUAUCAGUAACCCUGACAAAAGGCCGGCAGAGGCUGUCAUGGUGAAAGGAGACAACCGCCGAGGCCUUAUCAUAUUUGCCGAUGAUAUGAGCCGGGCCAUGGUAAUAAGAUGCCAUGGACUGUCACGUCUAAGUGAAGCGCUAUCAGA
rnacentral:ncRNA from 1 species